GCCUGGGUGGCUCAGUCAGUUAAGCGUCUGACUCAGGCUCAGGUCGUGAGUUCCAAUCCCACCCCAGCCU
rnacentral:tRNA from 1 species